UAGGGAAUCUUCCGCAAUGGACGAAAGUCUGACGGAGCAACGCCGCGUGAGUGAAGAAGGAUUUCGGUUCGUAAAACUCUGUUGUUAGGGAAGAAAAAAUGUAUAGUAACUAUAUACAAAAGAGACGGUACCUAACCAGAAAGCCACGGCUAACUACGUGCCAGCAGCCGCGGUAAUACGUAGGUGGCAAGCGUUGUCCGGAAUUAUUGGGCGUAAAGCGCGCGCAGGUGGUUUAGAAAGUCUGAUGUGAAAGCGCACGGCUCAACCGUGGAGGGUCAUUGGAAACUAAUAAACUUGAGUGCAGGAGAGAAAAGUGGAAUUCCUAGUGUAGCGGUGAAAUGCGUAGAGAUUAGGAGGAACACCGGUGGCGAAAGCGGCUUUUUGGCCUGCAACUGACACUGAGGCGCGAAAGCGUGGGGAGCAAACAGG
rnacentral:rRNA from 1 species